GGUGGUGGCACCUGCAGACCAGGCCGAGGCUAAUCAGAAGUAAACCUAGAGAUGGGUUGAGGGGACUUUACUAGGGACCCCUAGAGAUGGAAGACGUGGGAGAAGAGAAAUUGCCCCACUCAAAUCUCUUCCUACAAAUGCUCUGGAGCACCUCUUGAAGGCUCCAUGUGCUGAGGUGGACCCCAAAUCCUGCCAGAUGCCAUCACUUAUCCUCCUUUGGACACCUGCACAAAUAUUCCUGGGCCCAGUCUCCUGUUGAGGUCAUUCCUCGUGCCACUGCUUCUGUGUGGCCUCUAAAAACUGAGGGCAACUCCCUCAGCCCCUCUGCUUUUCCUUCAUUAGCAACCCUGCAAUACAAUGAUAAAGACAGGGAUGCACUGCACAGUUCUGACAGAAAUGGGACCCAUCCUGGGGUUGUCUGGGCUGUUGAAGUACUUUCCCUGGGUUGGAGCAUUUCACAUUAAUGAGAAUCUUUUCCCUGAAACUAGACAACUUGCUUCUGGCCGGCUUGUCCUUCAUUGUCCUCAGGGGGCUGUGAGAGUGGGCACCAGCACUCUGUGCUCCUCCUUCAAGCCUUCUACUGACAGCUUCCUCUCCUCCUAUCUUCCUGUCCCAGCCCCUCUGCAUUCUAAUGUGUCUGCCCUGUCCAUGUGAAGGCUCAUGUUGUCUGAACCAGAGAAUGAUUUAGAUCAGAUUGAUCUUAGAGGAUAAUCCUGUCUCUUGGGUGACAACCCUUUCAGACUGCUAGGAGGGAUUGGUGGGACUGGGUUGGAACUGAAUGACCUUGUGUUAAGCCCUCAUCUUUUCCACCCCUCCCAGCCUCUGCUCUGCAUCACACCUCGGGGUGUGUGAAGAUCCACCCCCACUGGAAGGGCCAGAUGUCAUUGUGCCUAUUCUCAAGGAUGAUGGAUCCUACAUGCUCUGUGCAGUUUGGAUGGAUGAUCCUGAAGCGCCAGUCCAGGCCUGUGCUGGGGCCUGGCACCCUACAGCCCAGCAGCCCAUCUGCUGUGCUGAGGCCAUUGUGGUGAAAGAUGCCACCUACCAAAAAGAGAAAGUCAUGUUGGCAACUGCUGAUUGGGCUGAGGCUACCUCCAGGGUGUGUGGAGAUCCACCCCCACUGGAAGGGCCAGAUGUCAUUGUGCCUAUCCUCAAGGAUGAUGGAUCCUACUUGCUCUGUGGAUACUGGGCAGAUGAGCCUGAAGCACCAGUCCAGGCCUGGGCUGGGGCUCUGCACCCUACAGCCCAGCAGCCCAUCUGCUGUGCGGAGGCCAUUGUGGUGGAAGAUAGCUCCAGCCAGAAGGAGAAAAUAGAGGUGGCAUCUGCAGAGCAGACUGAGGCCAUACCCAGGGUGGGUGGAGAUCCACCCCCACUGGAAGGGCCAGAUGUCAUCGUGCCUAUCCUCAAGGAUGACGGAUCCUACCUGCUCUGUGCAUAUUGGGCAGAUGAGCCUGAAGCCCCAGUCCAGGCCUGGGCUGGGGCCCUGCACCCUACAGCCCAGCAGCCCAUCUGCUGUGCUGAGGCCAUUCUCGUGGAAGAGCCCUCAUCACAAGAGGAGGAAGGGAAGGUGGCACGUGCAGACCAGGCUGAGGCUAAUCAGAGGGUGUGUGGAGAUCCACCCCCACUGGAAGGGCCAGAUGUCAUUGUGCCUAUCCUCAAGGAUGAUGGAUCCUACCUGCUCUGUGGAUACUGGGCAGAUGAGCCUGAAGCACCAGCCCAGGUCUGGGCUGAGGCCUUGCAUGCAAAAACUCAGCAGCCCAUCUGCUGUGCUGAGGCUUUUUGGGUGCUAAGAACUUCCUCUGGUGGAUACCAUGAAACCUGACUCUGUUCAUUCCAGGACCCCAUUUAUAUUAAAGUUUGGUUUUGUUAAUUAUUUGGGUUGAAUAUUUUGCUCCAUAAUCUUUAAACCUCACAAAUACAUGGAUUAGUAUAACACUGGAACCUGGAAUUCUAGGUGUCUUCUGAUAACUGUAGUCAAGAUUGCUCCUAUGCCACAGGACGUGUCUACAUGCAUCAAGUCUAGUGAAAAAAGCCAGACAUAGUCCAAUACCAUGUGAGUACAGGUUAAAGCAGACCUGCUAGGAGUGCACAGUAAGGAGGCAGUUCUAAGGUGAAUGCAAGAAUGCAUAUACUCAAGAUGAGCAUGAGAAUCUCUCAAGACAGUGAGGGAGUGUCAUUAGAAAGGCGUGUGGGACUCUUCUGGAAUCUUAGUGGGGAUAUUCACUUUCAACAACAUAUUAAUGUGUCCCCUUGAAUUUCAUGGGUCUUUCUCCAUACUGGUUUACAAAACAAAGGAAAAUGAUCGGGCCGGCACCAUGGCUCAAUAGGCUAAUCCUCCACCUAGCAGCACCGGCACACUGGGUUCUAGUCCCGGUUGGGGCACCAGAUUCUGUCCCAGUUGCUCCUCUUCCAGGCCAGCUCUCUGCUGUGGCCAGGGAGUGCAGUAGAGGAUGGCCCAAGUGCUUGUGCCCUGCACCCCAUGGGAGACCAAGAAAAGCACUUGGCUCCUGCCUUCAGAUCAGUGCGGUGUGUCGGUCACAGCGUGCCAGCUGUGGCAGCCUUUGGAGGGUGAACCAAUGGCAAAAAGGAAGACCUUUCUCUCUGUCUCUCUCUCUCACUGUCCACUCUGCCUGUCCAAAAAAAAAAAAAUGAUCAUUUCCUGUCAGCACAUCAUCACAGGAAGCACACAGGGAACUACAAAAUUUGGCUGUUUCUCUUCUGCACAGUGCAGUGAGCCUUGGGCCCCUUGCUGCCUGACUGUUGAGCAAAGGGUAGGAGGUG
rnacentral:lncRNA from 1 species